CCUACGGGUGGCAGCAGUGGGGAAUAUUGCACAAUGGGGGAGACCCUGAUGCAGCAAAGCCGCGUGAGUGAUGAAGUCUUUCUGUAUGGAAAGCUCUAUCAGCAGGGAAGAAGAUGGCGGUACCUGAUUGAUACUCCCCGGCUAACUACGUGCCAGCAGCCGCAGUAAUACGUAGGGGGCAAGCGUUAUCCGGAUUUACUGGGUGUAAAGGGAGCGCAGACGGCAGUGCAAGUCUGGAGUGAAAUCCCGCGGCACAACCCCGGAACUGCUCUGGAAACUGUGAGGCUAGAGUACUGGAGGGGCAGGCGGAAUUCGUAGUGUAGCGGUGAAAUGCGUAGAUAUUAGGAGGAACACCAGUGGCGAAGGCGGCCUGCUGGACAGUAACUGACGUUGAGGCUCGAAAGCGUGGGGAGCAAACAGGAUUAGAUACCCCGGUAGUC
rnacentral:rRNA from 1 species